rnacentral:lncRNA from 1 species
UUUGGCAGAUGGGAACCAGUUUCGUAAAUUCCUGAGGAACUCUGGCUUUUAUCUAACCACCAGAAAUCCUACAGUCCAGUUUAAGAUCUGGAUACGGAUUUAAUAUUUCUGGACAUUUGGACGACCCACGAGACCUAAGAACAAUAAACUGAACGUAUAGUGGAUCAUGUACGAUACACAGGAUGGCCCUAUCAAAGGACAAUAAUCACAGUAAAGAAAUAUCUGGAAAUUAUGAAAGAAAUGAAAGGAUGGGCUGGUGAAAAGCAGAGAGAAACCGAAAGGUAACAUGAAGAAAAGUAGCAGGGAGCUCAGUGCUGUAGGAAGGGAGAGGAAGCCAAAACCAAGUACAAGGAAGCGGAAUAUGGUGGGCAUGAUCAGAUAGAUUUGUAUGAUGAUGUCAUCUCUCCAUCUGCAAAUAAUGGCGAUGCCCCAGAAGACCGGGACUACAUGGAUACUCUUCCACCAACUGUUGGUGAUGAUGUGGGUAAAGGGGCAGCACCAAACGUUGUCUAUACUUACACUGGAAAGAGAAUCGCAUUGUAUAUUGGAAAUCUAACAUGGUGGACAACAGAUGAGGACCUAACUGAAGCAGUUCAUUCUUUGGGAGUAAAUGAUAUUUUGGAGAUAAAAUUUUUUGAAAAUCGGGCAAAUGGACAAUCAAAGGGAUUUGCCCUUGUUGGUGUUGGAUCUGAAGCAUCUUCCAAAAAGUUAAUGGAUCUUUUGCCUAAAAGAGAACUUCACGGUCAGAAUCCUGU